CUCCGCAGCAUGUGGGAUCUUCACGGACCGGGGCACGAACCCGUGUCCCCUGCAUCGGCAGGCGGACUCUCAACCACUGCGCCACCAGGGAAGCCCUCCCGUGACUUUUUGAUACAUCAUUUUAAAGUAAUCUGACUUCACAGUGCUUUACAGUAUAAGAGUAACAUCUAUAACAUCUCAUCCUGGCAGGUUCACUCUUGAGCCAGUUAACUGUGAAAUAAAAUUCAUAUUUUAUGGAAAGAGAAGAAAAAUUUAAACAAAAAAUCUUCUCUGCCUUUUGGCCUCCUCUCUCCCACCACUGUGCAUUGUGUAUCUUGUAUUAUGCAUUGACCAAACCUUUACCAUCGGCGGAAAUUUCUACUCAACCAUAAAGAGCAACAUUCUCCUAAGACAGUUCCUUAAAGGUAACAUUCCUUCUUGAUAAGGGGUCACAUGGUGCUCAGAUGUGGAUUAUGUAAAUUGUCAAUAAUAGGUCAUUUGAUGUACAGCCCUCCUCUGUCUCAAAAAGCAUAUAUAACUGUAUCUUGACUUCUAAUGGGCGGAACAAUUCUCAGGGCUUUGUGAGAUGCUCUUCCUGGGUUAUAAUCCUCAAAUUUGGCUCGAAUAAAAUUUUCCAUUUCUUUUUUAGAUCGACUGAUUAAAAUUUUUCAUCGACAUAUGCUUGGUGUAGUCAGCAGGAUAUCAGAGACUCCUGCCAGAGGCCACCGGGAGUCUAUGCAGAACAAGUGCUUGGUGCCAGCGUGGGCCCAUUGAGCCCCACCUGCUUCUCAGCACUCCCCAGGUGUUUUUGCCACAAGCCAUCCUCAGAUGACUGAGGAUCUCUGGGAAGUGUCUGAGGAUCAAUUUUCAUGAUGUGUAGCGGUCCCAUAGGGAAACCCCAUUACAGUCAUUAAGUAAGUACUGCUCAUCCAGGUGGCGUGACAGAGGCUGAUCACCUAGUGUUCCGAGCACCCAAGAUGGUUUUAGGCUGUCAUUGGGAGAAACUGAGCCACCUAAAAGAAGUCGAACCAGGGAAUUCCCUGGUGGUCCAGUGGUUAGGACUCUGUGCUUUCACUGCCAGAGGCCCAGGUUCAAUCCCUGGUCAGGGAACUAAGAUCCAGCAAGCCACAUGGUGCAACCAGAAAAAAAAGGUUAGUAUCUGCAGAUUUUGGUAACUUGAAACUAAACCAAGGUAAAUUAUGAGAAUUCAUUCACUAUCUGGGUCAUUUCAAACAGGAUAAAAUUCUGGAACAUUAAUUGCUGGGGAGGUCUACGUUCUUAGAAGAGGAAAACUAAAGCAUAAGCAUAAGUUUGUCAAUCAGGAAAUGCUGAUAUGACAAACACCAUUUUUAUUUAUUUAUUUUGGCUGCGCCAUGUGCGGCAUGCAUGAUCUAGUUCCCUGACCAGGGAUCGAACUCGUGCCCCCUGCAGUGGAAGCUCGGAGUCCUAACCACUGGACCACCAGGGAAUUCCAGAGAAAAAUUAAGGUUUUAAGGUUAAGAAUUAUAAGGGAAACAUUUCAGUAUGCAAGGAAGUAGGAUGUGUGUUUUCAGCAAAGAAGGUAUGAGGAUUGAAAAUGCAUUUUGUUAAAGGAAAAAAGGUUUU